rnacentral:rRNA from 1 species
GACGAACGCUGGCGGCGUGCUUAACACAUGCAAGUCGAACGGAAAGGCCCUGCUUUUGUGGGGUGCUCGAGUGGCGAACGGGUGAGUAACACGUGAGUAACCUGCCCUUGACUUUGGGAUAACUUCAGGAAACUGGGGCUAAUACCGGAUAGGAGCUCCUGCUGCAUGGUGGGGGUUGGAAAGUUUCGGCGGUUGGGGAUGGACUCGCGGCUUAUCAGCUUGUUGGUGGGGUAGUGGCUUACCAAGGCUUUGACGGGUAGCCGGCCUGAGAGGGUGACCGGCCCCAUUGGGACUGGGAUACGGCCCAGACUCCAACGGGAGGCAGCAGUGGGGAAUAUUGCACAAUGGGCGGAAGCCUGAUGCAGCAACGCCGCGUGCGGGAGGACGGCCUUCGGGUUGUAAACCGCUUUCGCCUGUGACGAGGCGUGAGUGACGGUAAUGGGUAAAGAAGCACCGGCUAACUACGU